GGAUUAAUUGCAAUAUUCUCCCCUUUCUAGGUGCCUGCACAAAGCCAGACUGUAUUAAGUGAUUUAAAGGAGCCCCCAUAUCAGAUGCUCUGGGAUUGUGAGAUUUGCUGCUGCUGUAGCCAGAACGAAGCUCAGCGCCGGAGGAGUCUAAGUGGUGCCCUUGUACCUCUAAGCACCUCUAAGCUUUAUAUGGUGAUUUUUCAGGCCUGGUUUAUUAAGGCAUUCCCAAGAAAAAGAUGAAGUUGUCAGCUUCACACCACAUCACCCAAAUCUACAGCAGUUCUUCAGAGUAAACCCUUUCAAAUAUGAACACCGUUGCUUCACUGAGACCCUCCUCAUGGACCUGCCCCAAAUCUCCUCUGCGGUCAGGAAAAUGUUUUUCCUUACAAAGCUGCAGUCCUACCACUGAACUUGUUGCCAAAAUCUGAAGGCUUCCUUGUUCUUUCAUGGGAUUUUACUGACCCAGUGUAGUGUGGGAUGGUGCUGGAGAAGAAAUGUGGAUGUGCUGCAGAAACUGUUGUAGCUGAAAGAAGGAGAAGCAGCUGAAGCAAUGGAUGAUGUCUUCAUCAAUGGAAAGGAAAACAUUACUGGAAUUAAAUGCAUAUCUGCCAAUGAUGGCAGACAUAAUGCAAAAUUAUAAAUAUAUACAACAUAUGGUUAUAAAUACUAUAAAAAUUAUAAAUAUUGACAAGAGAGACCAUGUCCUGCCUUGGCUGGCAGGUGAAGUCACAGAGACAAGAGUCAUAUCAUCAACUUUGGGUAAGAUAAGGCCCUGGCUGAAUGGAAGAGGUGAUACUUCGGUGCUGAAAACAGAUAACCUUUCUUACCAUCUCUGGUUGUUUGAAAAGCAGAUUUUUUUUUUUCAGAGGGGCACUGAAGAGACAAAUAUCUUGAGUCUUGCUGGAUAUUAGGAUCCUUCUGUGUGCAAAUAACCAGUCUGUCUUCAAAGGAAAUUUCUGUGAAGGCCUGUGAAAAGGCUUAAUCUCUCUUGACCACUGUUCUCCUAUCACAUCCUACAUGUCCUGUCCUACCUUUGCUGGCCACAAGGUACUUGAAAGGUUUUUUUUUUAAAUCAUUGCCUGACCAGUGUUGAUUUGCUUGUACUUUUGUGCUAGAAGACUCCACCAAGGGCUGACUUUGAUGCUUGGCAAGAGAAGGUGGAGGAUUUAAAGAUUCCCUGGCGAGAUGGUUUCCUUAUGAGUCGAGUGAAAAUCAGGAAUAAUUCUGCAAGAAGUCUGGGAUGAUUUAAGGGAAAAUUUGGGGAGAUGAGAAGUGACCACCUCUGGGAUGCAGAGAGAGGAACAGAAGGGCAGUGAGAUGCUUUGAGCAGGAGGGAUAAAAUGUGAAAUAACAGGGUCAGAACCACUGUAUCUCACAAGAUUUUGUGUUUAACCAAGCAUAUCAAAGGCUGUGUCUUCUCCAGCACAGUGUGUGCCCCUUCCUUCCCUCUCUUGGUGUUUAGCUUUUCCCUGUGAUGGCAAAUACCCUGCUCCAGCCUGUCACACACAGCAUGGAACCAAACCAGUGGCUGCUCCUUGCCCUGUGACUCCCAACUCCUCCUGGCUUUAGCGCAGCGAGUUCCCUCUGAUCUCAAUGUCUUCAGCUGCUGGUCCCCCACAUAGGGGACCCUCGUGUUUGGCAGCCACUGCUGGAUCAGGCCCGUGGAACUGCUAGCAUGGCUCAUCUCCUCCAGAUUAGCUCCAGGUCAGCAGUCUGAGGAGGGAGUCAAAGGUCUUUGAUCCCGAUGGAGGAGCAGUGCACGUGACAUGUGCAUUGGCAGCUGGAAGGCAGAGGGACCAGGAGAGGUUUCAUCAGGAAAGGAGUUGAGCAGUAGAGAAGGAAAUUGUUGCUCUGCUUGUUCUGAGAGAAAAACACUCUCUAAAGGCAAAAAAAAAAAAAAAAAAAAAAAGUUCUGCAGUUGAUUUAUAUUUCUAUUAUGGGCUUAUCCUGUUAGCUUGUUCUUAGAGAAGAGCUGCUCCCUGAGGUACAAUUUAUCCUUUUUAGAAACUCUCCUCCCCCAAGAAACUUGCAACAGUGGAAAGAACAAAAGUUGAGAUGGUGUUUGAAGGAAGAAUCUAAGAAAAGUGAUUGAGCAGCUGGAUUCAAGGUUUCAUGCAAAGGAAAACUCUUCUGGGUGAAGGCACCCAGUGUAAAUAGUUGAGAAGCACUCAAAGAGAAGGACUUCAUGAGAGUUGUAAUGGCAAUUUUAGAGGUUUCCCCAAUAACAGCAUUUCCCCCAAAUGCUGUUAAGGUGGUAUCUUGAGAGCUACAAAAAGAAAAUUAGGGAUAAUUCUCAACUAGUCAGGAACUUCUGGUUUGUUUUUCCUCCAUGGAAUUCAUGGGGAAGACAAAGGAUGUAAAUGUAGCAGGAGACUGGAUGGGUGAAAGAAUUAUGAAAGAUAAAAUAGAGUGAAGGUCUUACAGAAUACAGGAGACCUUUGCAUCCAUGAAGGCACGGCUGCUGAGUCAGGCCCGUGGCUACGUGCACACUCAAGAAAUACUCAUGUGCUGAUAGAAAACAGAUUUAAAAGGUACCUAAAAUAAUGGCUUUUUUAAGACAGUAAUAUAGUCGUGUGACUUGUGGGGAAAAGCACACUGUGGCUCACAAUCUGAAUUAAACGUGUGUCAUUGGGGAAACCUGAUAUUUUGGACCAGAUCCCUGUCUGAACAGGUUGUGUGCUGCCCUUUUCAAAAUCAAGCUAUCAGAGGAUGCCCUUCAGCAGAAGUGUUAAGAGGACUUGAAGGCAAAGCUUGCUGGUGAGGCAGUGUGUCAGUGGGGCACCUCCAAGGAACACCGUUCAGGGAGCACUGGAGGAAGGAUUUCAGCACUGAUGCUCUUCCAGGACGUCAGCACCAACUGGCAUCACUGGCAUUCAUCUUUUGGGUGAGACUAUGGCUGGAAUCCUCUCUCUCAAAGCAAACACUGCAGCAGCUCACUGCAGCCGUGGAAACCUGUAGCCUGUGCUGGAAAAUAAAUGACUGGAAAUGUUCCUCGGUGACUAACCUGCUACAAGACACUAUUGUGCUCGGCGUAAAUGUCAUGUUCCUGGCUGGAGUCUUUGCUGGGCCCAAAGGCGAAGUGUAAUAUCAAAUGACUCCUACAAUUUUCAGUCUGGGACGUCUCUUGACCCGUGUGCACAGAUGAUGAACAAUUUCUCUUUUCUGAGUUGGCUUCUUUGCCUCUUGGUGCAGAAGUUGUCCUGAAAGCAUGCCAGGAACCUAAGUCAUAGAGAAGUGGUCUGGAAGUGAAGUGAGAACAACAUGCUUGAUGAAACAUGUCAAGCUACAUUAUAUUGUAGGAGUGCCUAAUCAAAAGGGCCUGCAAGCAGAAUUGGGUUGCUUCAUGAAGGCUGAGGUCCUUCAGCAGAAAUAUGACACAGAUCGAGAGCAAUGGAUGGUCUUGUGUAUAAGAGGAGAAUUUAAAAUUCAAGCGUUCUCUGAAACACUAAAACCAGAAGGAAACAAAAGGAGAAAUUAAGCUACAGGGGAGAGGUGAAGCAGGACAGGAAUUCUGUCUCAGACAUGGGAAGUGUCCUUUCCAAGCACAUAAGGAAGUCUGGUUUGCAGCAGCAGAUACCAUCAAGACCCUGGAAAUCUGUGGCACAGCUGAACCUUUCGUGCCUGUAAGAAAACUCUGUAUUCAGACUGGAUGAAGGGGCCAAGCAGGUUGACCAACAACUCUCCUCUUGGAGGAAUUUUUCCAGAUGGUUUUUCCAGCAACUGUUUCCCAUGGCAAUUCCAGCUUGUGUGCUGCUUUUUACUGAAGUCAGUCCAAGGAAAGAAAAAGAAGAAAGUACUUCCACAGAGUGAUUAAUCCCAUCUUAAAACAAGUGUGUAAGACAGAUGGGCCCAUACCACAAAUUUGGGAUCCAGAUUUGGAUUUGGACCAGACGUUUAUCAGAGUUUAGGAAUAGCUGAACCCAGCAUCUGAGGUCAGGCUCUGGUGGAAUUAACAGCCUGCCGCAAAGAUCUGGAUUGAGUGGAUCUCCCCCACAUUUCAAGGCAUAGGUGUGGAAAAUACGAGGAUUUGAUUAGACCUAUCUCUAAGGUGGAACUGCCCUGCACUGGGAGAUGGAGAAUUGAGAUGUCUGAGACACGAGGUCUCUCCCCAACCCUCCUGCUUUCCUGCUGCAUUUCUGGAGAAAAUUCAGGCAGAUCUGCUCUGAAGAGCUGGACUUUUCAACGCAGAGAUGAGAGGCUGUCUUCCUUGCAUUCCUCAGAGCAGCUUCUCACAGCCUCAAAAUGUCCCUGCUGCUUUGAGAUGUGUCACUGGAGGAGUCACCCUUCACCCAGCUGCCUCGCUCCAGGGAGGCCUUGACCAAUCCCAGCACCCUCAUGUGUGUAACAUCUCUCUCAGAUUCUUCUUCUGCUAAAGCUUCUUGGUGUUGGACUCGAUGAACCUUGUGGGUCCUUUCCCACCCAGGAUACUCCUUGACUCCAUGAUUUGCUCUGCCCAGCCCUGUGGAACAAACUUGCCCAAGCCACAGUGGUGAAGGGAGGAAAUGAGCAGGUUUAUGGACUUUCAUGGAGCUUUGUGGCCCCAAAAUACAGCACCCUGGAUCAGGGUGUCAUGGAGUUAGGCUCUGGAGCACAUCUUUCCUUCUGGAUGCUGUCGGCAACGUUGGGAAUGUCUUCAGAUUUGGGAUUUGGACCUGGACCUCCCACCAUCCCUGGGUGCGUAACCAUCAGGCUAUGGAUCUGGAUGUGCUCUGCCUAUGAUCUGGAUGUGGCUGGGCUUUCUCUGUCUGUGCUUCUGGCAAAUGUGGUCUGAUUCAGUCUUACAGUUUUGAUGUCUCAAACAAACGUCAGCACCUUUACAAGGAGCACAUUGACAAGUGGAUGAGACAAGCAAGUGGGCUGGAGAAGACAUCUGCUUCCAGUCUUCUGAUGUACCUCGAGGACCUGCGUCUGGAGCUUUCAGAUUCAAAAACCACAGGCUAAGGACAACAUUUUAUGCACAGAUACUGAAUCUGGAAUAAGAUUCUCCUCCCUGGGAAUCAGGCACACGAGCAUUGCUGGAUCAAAGGCUGCCAGCCAAGUCAAUCCCUAUUUUGAGGAUCAAAUCUCUCUUUCCUGUGUGCUUCAGGAAAGUCUGUCAGCGUGAUGAAGUACCAGCAUCACUCAGCAGGACCUGUUGAGGAGCCAAUGUUUGGGCUUGGCCCAUCACAGUACUGGUUUAUCCUUUUUAAAUCUGUGAGUAUGAGCUCAGGAGCUGCAUCACAACUUUGUGGAGACUCUGUUGUGUGCACACACCUUAGGUUAGGGCACUUCAGCUUUGUUAGGGUAGUGGUUGGACUUGAUGAACUCAGAGGUUGUUUGUAACCUUAAUGAUCCUGUGUUUCCAUAACUCUAAUUCUUAAAGAGAAUGAGCUCUCAGCUCUAAGGAAUGUAGUGCCAUGGGUUGCUGACUGCAGUUAAUGUAUUUAAUUAUAUAUAUAUAAAAUAUAAACGUUUAUGUUAGGAAAUAUUUAGUAGAAUCUGGUGAUUUCAAAAAGGAAACCUCAGAGCCCCUUCCAGGGCCUAAAGGAACUCCAGGAGAGCUGGAGAGAAGCCUGGGACAAGGGAUGGAGGGACAGGACACGGGGAAUGGCUUCCCACUGCCAGGAGGCAGUGUUAGAUGGGAUACUGAGAAGAAAUCCUGUGUGUGAGGGUGGUCAGGCCCUGGCACAGGGUGCCCAGAGAAGCUGUGGCCGCCCCUGGAUCCCUGGAAGUGCCCAAGGCCAGGCUGGAUGGGGCUUGGAGCAACCUGGGAUAGUGGAAGGUGUCCCUGCCCUUGGCAGAGGGUGCGACUGGAUGAUCUUCAUGGUUCCUUCCAAACCAAAUCAUUCCAUGAUUCCACGAAAAUACAGCAACUUGUUUCCUUCUGUACCUGCAACGUGAGUAAACACACCUGCUAAGAAAAACUGUGGUAAUUGUAAUAAUUUUCUGAUAAUGUGUCCUUCUCAAGGGUUUUUGCAGAGCAAGAAAAGAAGAAAGAUUCAUUCUUGCUCCAUAGAAAUUAAUUAAAACCUUGUCAUUACCACCUGUGAGAGGACAGAACCCCAGUUGCCCUCUCAGUGAGAGACCAGUGGUUUCUUUUUGUUUCUGGUUAUUAUUUAUAAAUUCUGAGCAAGCAACUUUGUUAUGAGACUAAACUCAUUUGCAACUUGUGAAUUUUUUUGACAAUGCAUAUGUUCAUGCUUCACAUUUUGUCAUCUCCUUUUAGGAGACUACACGACUUUCCAUCAUUUCAGUUACAAAAAUUUCUGAUAGUUGGGCAAAACUGUCUUAGAAAAAGAUGCAGAAACUCAGAGAACAAACAGAAAUAUUGGAUGGUAGAUGAGACAAAUCUAAAUUUUACACCAAAGGAAGAGGUUAUCAAAGUUUCACUCUCAGAAACUGGUUUCUUUUAAGGGGUUGAAGGCAAGUGGUUGUGGCAGGUCAGGUUAUCACGUCGCUGCUAUAGUUAGAACUCUGGACUGGUUCUGUGCUGUUGUUUGUUGAGAUGACUAAGUUGUCAUUUUUAAUUAGCUUUAUGCUCCUCUCAAAGGCUAAUUACUUUACUUUUUAUCAAGAAUACUUGAUUGGUAAUGACAAGGGUGCCAUGGUUACGUAUUUUUAGAGAAUUCCCCAACCUGCACCAUUAUGUGAUUUCCUGUUCCCCCUGGAUUCUUUGUGCAGCAAAGCCUUCAAUAAAAAUAAUGGUUAAGAAAAAUGGAAGUUUACUGAAGAUAUUGGUGGAAAAAAGUAUCUCUUGGUUUCUUUUUGGCAGGAAGGCCACUGCUAAUGUAUUUAGUCAGCGUAGAAACCUUUAUGCUUAGUUUGCCUCCCUGUCAGUGACACUCAUGCUGCUCUAUUACCUUCACUGAAGUUACCUUGGGCAAACUGAAUUUGAGACGUUCCUUUUUUUCCCCCUCUCGUUUGUCUAUAUAAUUGUGCAUCUCCCCUGGUCGUCAUGGAAAUCUGGACUGACUGAACUGCAUCCUUCUUUCCAAGCGUGCAUAUUGCACAACCAGACACUGACUUUCACAGAGGGUUCACCACUUUUUUUUACCAAUACCGUGUUGGAGAGCCCUUGAGAUAAACAUGAGAGGUGCAGUCACAGGUGAAAUCUCUCUUUUCUUUGACAACCUGUAGAUUGCUGUAAUCUGUUCCUGUUUAAAACAGCAGCAGCCCAAAAGUUGAUGUUUCUGUGAAGGCUCCCUCGAUGGGGGGGACAGCAAUGGGAGACAUAAAUACUCCUCUGACAUUUUUUAGAAAUACAGCUAUACCCAGAGAAUGGCUGCUUUUCUCCUGUUCAUAAGUACAUGUCAGAUGUGUGGUAAACCAAAUUCUCUCAGGAGCUUGUCUUGAAAGAGGGAAAGACACAAUGAUUUAGAGUCUACAUCUGCAGUCUAAGGUGCUUUGGUACCUGCUGCUGGAGAGAAUUCCCUCCACCUGCAGCCUCCUCAUGCUGGGCUUAGAGCUCUUCCCAAAGCAGAAGCCCAAGGGAAUCUAAUGCUGUUCCUAAUCCAGUGGAAAGGCAAAGAGGGAACAGCCACCACCUUCUACUGCAAGUGGAAAGGGACUCCCUGGUGACAGCAACUCUUGCCACAUUCUCCAAAGCAUAUGGAGAGCAGGAUCAGAGGAGAGAUCUUCUUAAACUGAAGGGAGGGUCGGUACGGUGGGAUGCUAGCAUGGCACAUGUGUGUACCCAGGCUGCCAGGGGGAGCUCCUGAAGGGCGUGUUUGGCUGGGAAGGCCUGCAGGAAUGUGUUCAGUCGCAGGAACCAUGUGUGGGACAUGUCUGCAACCAGGCAGCUGGAGAUGCGAGGAUGUUCUGGAGUGAAGGCUCGCACAGUCCCAGUGUUUUGACGUUAUCCUUCUCAGAGCCAGACAGGGAAUGUAGCAGCUCCAGCCACUGCAGCAGUGCAGUGUGAGUCCUUCCAAUCUAUGUGUAAAAAACACCUUCUUCACUGAGCAUCUUGUCUCCUUAAUGAGCCAGUAACACAUCUAUGGCUUCAGUAAUUAAAGCAAGGUUUUGUUGCUUCUUGCUGAUAUCAGCUCCACGGAGGAAGAAGAGAGAGACAGGUAAGGGAAGCUGGCAACCACUCUGGGAAGCAGGUAUUUGCCUCCCUGCUUCCUCUGCUGCCAGAAAAAUAGACAGGACUGGAUCCUAAAGGUAUCAAAUCCCUAAAUCCUAUGGAAUUCAAAGUAAGUGUGUGGCUAAACGCUGUGGGGAUCUGGGUUUAUUCUCUGUGUGCCUCAAACCUUCAUCGGCCCUGUAAGUGUAGCAAUUCUUCCCAGUUCACAACAAAGUAAAAUAAUAAAUAUGUUAUGGAAAACAAGGUGCUUAGCUAUUGUUAUCUUUGAAAAAAAUAUAUAUAUAUUUAAAUAUCUAAGCAGUAUAUGUUUACUCUUUUUUUUUUUUGAGUGAUGUUUAAGUUAUAGUUUUCAGUUUUAGAGAGAAGUGCUUGUUGAUGAACUGAUUGUUGUAGUCCCCAACUGUAAUCAGGAUGCAGUUUCCUCUCCAGAAGUUCACCAACAGCAAGGAUCAACAAGAAGCUGAAGCAUCCCAAUGGAGGAGGCACUGCAGUGGGUCUCCCUUUCCUGAUGCUCACCCCAGGCAAGAUGCUCAGGAACUACCCUGGUUCCAGGCAGAACCUUCACUGCGUUUCCAAGCAGAGUGACUCAUGAGAGCACCGCUCCAAUUCCUGUUUCGUGAGCUGACUCCGUAGAUGUGAACAGAGCUGCUGGGAACACAGGACCUGCUGCAAACAUAUUUCUACUUAUUAACCAGCAACUUCAACUUUGUAGUGCUUCAGAUUUAUUCAUAUUUUCAGGAUUUUUUCUAUGCUUCUGGUUGUGAUAAAUGUUAUUGACAGUGAGCAGGAAUUUAUUAUUGUUUGCUGAUCGUUGGGCAAAGUGUUUAGCAGGAGUAAGGCUGAGACAUGGAAAUAAGACUGGGCAAGGACUUCUGAUCUACAGGUGCCUCUACCUGCUGCUGCACUCCAUGUAAUCACUUUUGAAAGCCUGGAGAGUUCUAUCUUGGGAUAAGUUAGCUUUCCUGACUCCAUUCCCGCAGUGAGGAGGCACCACAACCUCAGUUCUCUGUUGAUUUAAGACUUUCUCCUACUUUGCAUUGCAAAUAUAUGCAUGACUAAUUCAAACCCACUGGCUUUUUCUUUUUCCUACUUUUUUUCUCUCCAGUUUUCCCUUCAGCUGAAAUAAUGUUUUCUUCUUCCUGGCCUUUAGACCAAUAAGGUCACUAACAGUGAACAGGUUUUCUUGGAGCUUCAACUAAACUGAAGCUAUUGUUUUGGGUGGAAAGAAAUUUAAGAUGUUUACGAUAGAUCACAGUUCAUGAAGUUUUUCCUAAUUUUC